GAGAGAGAAAAAGAGAGAGAGAGAAUGAGAGAGCUUAAAUACGAAACCAUUAUCGGCGGUGACAGCAUCGAGUGUACUGAAACGUUGCUUCCGAACUUAAUUCUGGAGGUUUGGCAAAUCGCCAAGAUACCUUAACAAACAAACAAACAAACAAACAAACAAACAAACAAACAAACAAACAAAUAAACAAACAAGCAAACAAACAAACAAACAAACAAACAAAAAAGAGCAGAAAAAGAGCAGAUAAGAAAUAACGAAGAGGCUAGACAUUAUCUUUCUUAAAUAACCAGUGUCAAAGUACGACUAUGAUGAUAAUAAACGGAUGUACAAAGAUGCAUGUCUAUAGCUCAUUCUUAUUUUUUCUUGGCCCGAUUAACGAUUUAUUAUUAUAUAUUCGACGUAAUUCGUCCUUUUUUUUAUCUUUUUUUCCUUUCGUGCACUUGGAGGGUUAAGUAAUUUAAACGAGAAAUGAUAAAUUAAUGAUCGCUUUCACUCUCUCUUCAUAUAGAUUUAUAAAUGUUUCUUUUCCAGCUAAUUUGAUGGAUGAAGAAUCGAUCAUCUACAAAUUAUGUAUUACAACGUUACUUAGUAAAUUUACUUAACCGUGAUUUAUUAAGCGAUCGAAACGUAAAAGACACAACUAUCGAUUUAUUAUGAUUCCGUUAUUAUACUCGCACUAUAUUCUAGAUAGAUACAUCGGGAAUUCUACUUGAAGAAAUAUUAACAGUCCAUGCAUUCGAUGGUCUGGCCACCGACGAAAUCUAGAAGCCAUCUAUCUGCAUCACCGUCCAGCGGAAGAAUUACAAGAGAGCUAGCUAUUCCGAAUAGACGAUUCUUUAGAAAAUCUUUAACUCGGUACGACGUCUACCUUCUUUCUUUUUUUUUUCUUUUUUCUUUUUUCUCUUUUUUCUCUCUACAAGACUGAUUAUUUUGUAAAUAUGUUCAUGUAGAAGAGUGCAUAUUUAAUGACGUUUUAUAACUCACAAAUAUAUCGGUAUAGUAGGAAGAGUAUAUAAGGAGAGAAGGUAUUGUACAUUAUAUGUAUUUUCUAAUGAAAUCUUAUAUUAUUAUAAGAA